GGCGACUUGGCCGAGUGGUUAUGGCGCUGGAAUUAGGAUCCAGUUCUUCGGAGCGUGGGUUCGAACCCCACAGUCGUCA
rnacentral:tRNA from 1 species